ensembl:lncRNA
GCUCAGUGAAUUGUGGGCGUAACUGCACCUCCAGAAGCCUGAUAAGCAAAUACUGUAUGUGUGUGUGUGUGUUUUCAAUCAUCUCGACAUCAUCAAGCAGCACAUCAUUCUAUUUCAAUGGGCUUACGUGUUGUCAGUAAUUAGCUGCUUAUAUGUGAUGAAAGAAGAGGCGCUAACACCUAAUUUGCCAGGCUUAGACACGCAGUAUUAGUGAAACAAAUCGAUGGAUGCGGGAGGAGAGACGGGUCAGGGAAGCGCGGGCUGCUGUUUUCUCAAAGAUAGCCCUCCUCGGAAGGGAUAAUCAAUGCCGACACACCAUUAGCGGCGCGUUUAGCCCCGCUGAUUAUGAUCCCAGCUCUGCCAAACCCCUACAUGUACAUUCUUUCAGAGUACCAAUUAUGUUCUGUCCCAUAAUUGAUUUGAAAUGGCCCCCGCUGAGCUGCAGAGGAUUCACUGUCUUGCUCAAGGAUACUUGAAAAGGCGACAGAUGCCUGCUGAACACGGGUCCUCCAGCUGAAGGUCAGCCCUCUUAAUCACUUCCUCCACUGUGAAUCCCUUUGUAAUCCGGAUUAGGAUUGGAGAGGCAACAUGGGAGAUGUAACCGGCACGUUGCUCGCAGCGGAGAGGUACGAAGAAUAAAGCGAACGAUCGGGCCUUGAGCUUCAAUCCUCCGUCAAAGACGUCAGGAGCCGGUUUAGAGGUCUUCGGAACUGAAGGCCCUGUGAUUUUGGACAAACUGUUACACAAGACCUGUAAACAGACGUCGGUGUGUGAAGAAACGGUGGAAUCAUCGCUUUGAAGCACACGGCCUGCCUCAGAGCUUUCACGCCAUAACAUACAGGACGCUGCAUAAGUACGGCAGAUUGAAAGUUAAACCAUAAAGAUAUACAAAACGUGCUUUUCGUGUGAUUUUCGCUUCGAACAGCUUCCUGCAGCACGAUCCAUCAUCUGCGAGGGCUGUCAGUCGAUCGCAGACGAAGCACUCAACAGUGUCCUUCCUGUCAGUCAGCCCACGAGAAGCUGUUUCAAUACAAAAGGCUGUCUGUCGUGGCCGCUGUCAAGGAAGAUGGUCUCUGCGCCUGUUUCCGUCUCUGAGCUGUGAUUGGACAGCGUUGGAUACGUAAUGCAUCCAAAGCCUCUGUGUUAAAACAAACAUCAAUCAUUAAAGGCGUUCCGUCA